UAAAAACAAAAAAUAUAAAAUCUUUUGUAUUUUUUUAAAUUUAACCAAAAAAUUAGAAAAACAACCAAGACUCAAGACCCUACACCAUUACUUCACCAAAAACCAUGGGAACUUCCCCUCUCCACGCUUAAAAAGCUAGUUUAUCCCCAAAAUAUACUCAAAAGUAGAGAAAGAAAUACUUCUUAAAGCCUCUAGGUCUAGCUAGUAGCAUCUUUUAUUAAUAGUGAGGUUGGGUGGACCCCACACUCAGUCUUUUCCAUGCUUUUUAGCUCAGGUUUUUGGUACUCAGACUUCCCUUCAACCCAAG
rnacentral:lncRNA from 1 species